rnacentral:tRNA from 1 species
GGAUGGUUAGCUCAGUGGUUUGAGCGUGGGGCUGACAACAACACCACUGAGGUCGCGGGUUCGAUUCCCGCUCGGUCCC